UAUUGCAACAUGUCUCAAAUAAUGGUCUGUGUUCUUUAAAAUCGAACGGAAGCCUUUUUCUUGGACUGAAAUUAGAUUCAGUAACUUGAAAAAAAUCUUGACUCUAGUCAAAAGCUGACUGGUUCAACUGUGGUUUCCAAAGCACUGAUAAUGGUGAGGCCUGUAGGGGAAACUGAUGACACAGCAAAAAAGCAGCAAUGAGUGCUCAUACAGCAUCUGGUAUGCAAUCACAUGCCAUGGCCCUCUUGUCUUCUCUUUCCCUGCACGCACUCAGAGAUAGAAAGAAAGAGAGAUUGAGAUGGAAGAGGCAGAGAAAGAAAGAGCGGAAUCAGACAAGAAGAAAGUGAUGAAAAUGGACACAAGGUUUUGGUGGAUGCUGCGAAGUUAGGAGCAGCCUUACUGUUCCUAGAAAAGCUACUUGUUGCUUGCUCCCUGGUGCUUGUCCAACUGCUGAUACCGCCGUCAGCAGCAGUGAAACGAGGGAAGAAAAGUGUUUUCUUUUCAUUCCUUUUAAUAAAAAUUAAAAAAGAUGCUUGGUUUUUAUGUUUUUCCUAACUUUUUUUCUCCCUUUUAGUACUUGCUUAUUUGCUCAAAUAAAGUCAGGACGGUGCCUCCAGUGCCAUAGCUAUCUGCAAUUAUUUGAUUGGACUGGCGAUGGUUGAUGUGCUCAACAUAGGCCACUCUUAUUUUGGUUGCAAGUCCCAUUCAUCUUUUAAGCCAUCCAAUUGAUGAUAAGAUGCAAGGAGAGAGGAAACAACACUGACAAAUGGGACCUCAGUUGAUGAGUGAAUGAUUGAGGUUUUUUAUGCAAGUUUCUGUUGUCUAGGGUGGGUGGAGGAAAGAAUCCAACUAUCGUUAUGCUAAUUGGAGAUGUUCAUUGUUACUCUCUAGAUGCUCAUCUCUGGCCAUGCUGUGCUUGGCCAUAGUUUACCAUUCUGAGGGACGGCCAUGUUGUAAGGCGAAACAGAAGGAGGACAAAGAAAGGACCAGAGCGGAGUUUUCUCAGGUACACAUCGGGACAAAGACUAUAUUCAUUGCAUUAAAAUUCAAGAGUUUCCCGUAUUGCUUAUCCAAAACUAGGGCUCAUGGUCAUCAAUCGUAGGAGAUAUGAAGUAAAGACAGUCUUUUCUGAAGUAUACUAAGAUAUAAUGUUUGAGCACA